UACGGAGGGGGCUAGCGUUGUUCGGAAUUACUGGGCGUAAAGCGCACGUAGGCGGCUUUGUAAGUUAGAGGUGAAAGCCCAGGGCUCAACCCUGGAAUUGCCUUUAAGACUGCAUCGCUUGAAUCAUGGAGAGGUGAGUGGAAUUCCAAGUGUAGAGGUGAAAUUCGUAGAUAUUCGGAAGAACACCAGUGGCGAAGGCGACUCACUGGACAUGUAUUGACGCUGAGGUGCGAAAGCGUGGGGAGCAAACAGG
rnacentral:rRNA from 1 species